GGAGAUCGAGUGAUCGGAGCGUGAGCCGGAGGAUCGCUUAGGGUUAGUUGGAAGGUCGCGACGGUAGGAGAGGAAGAACGUUGGGAAGAAACCCAAAGGGUUUUGGAAUAUAUUUGAAAAAGAUAAUAAAAAACUAUUACAAGUUAACUAUAUAUACCUUAAACCUAAUGGGCCAACAAACAGAUUGGGCCUUGUGACUAACUUAGUGUAGGGAUAAUAAUAAAUGUAUAAUAGAUUUAAACUAAUCAACUAAUCACUCUUAAUACCCCCCCUCAAGCUGGAGAGUGUAUGUCAUAGAGUCCCAGCUUGGGUAGCAGAUUUCUCAGUGAUUCUAGACUUGCUGGCUUUGUCAAUAUAUCUGUCACCUGAGAUGUUGUAGAGAUAUGUUGCAAUUUGAAUAAACCUGCUUGUAAAUGUUCACGAAUUAGGUGACAAUCAAUUUCAAUAUGUUUGGUGCGUUCAUGGAACACUGGAUUUGAGGCAAUAUGUAUUGCAGUCAUAUUGUCACAGUGUAGCAGGGUUUCUCCAGAUGGUUUAACCUGUAAAUCAUUCAGAAAGUAGUGCAACCACAUUAUCUCACAUACAGUUGAAGCCAUAGCCCUAUAUUCACUUUCAGCAGAUGACCUGCUUAUUGUUGUUUGUUUUUUUGAUUUCCAUGUUAUAGCUGAUCCUCCUAGUAGUAUUGUGUAGCCUGUGAUGGAUUUCCUUGUGUUAGGACAGUCAGCCCAAUCAGCAUCACAAAAGGCUUCUAAUUGAAGAGGUGCAUUCCUCUUAUAUAGUAUACCUUUCCCUGGAGCCCCUUUUAUAUAUUUCAAUAUUUUUAUGGCUGAGUCAAAAUGUGACUGUUUGGGAUCUGCUAGGAAUUGGCUAUGAUGACUAACAGAGAAGGCUAUAUCAGGUCUUGUGAUUGUUAAGUAUAGUAGUUUCCCAAUUAGUUUUCUGUAAUUUGAAGGAUCCUUCAUUGGAGCAUCCUUCUCUGGAUUUUUGAAAUUGUGGGACAUUGGGAUCUUAGAUGGAGAAGAUCCCAAUUGUCCAAAAUCAUGUAAAAUAUCAAGGGCAUAUUUUCUUUGUGAUAGAAAGAUACCCUGGUUUGAUUGCGAUACCUCAAUUCCUAGCAAGUCUUUGAGUUUACCCAAAUCCUUUAUGUGGAAUUGGNNNNNNNNNNNNNNNNNNNNNNNNNNNNNNNNNNNNNNNNNNNNNNNNNNNNNNNNNNNNNNNNNNNNNNNNNNNNNNNNNNNNNNNNNNNNNNNNNNNNGAUAUUCUUUUAGCUUUUGGAUCUCAGUUUCAUUGUCCCCUGAUAUGAUUAAAUCAUCCACAUAAAUGAGUAAACAGGUAUAUGAGUUUGUGGAAGAUUUAAAGAAUAGUGUGUAGUCUGAAUGAGAUUGAGUGUAACCAAAUUUGGUUAAGGCAGAAGUUAAUUUCUCAUACCAAUUUCUGUUUGCCUGUUUCAAACCAUACAAGGAUUUUUUAAGUCUACAGACUCUUGUAUCAUCUGGUGAUAGCAUGCCUGGAGGAGGGGACAUGUAAAUUUCCUCAGACAAGUCACCAUGUAAGAAGGCAUUGCUUACAUCCAUUUGAUAUGUAGUCCAGUUUUUGGUUGAUGCUACUGCCAAUAAGGUCCUGACAGAUAUAAUUUUAGCAACAGGGGAGAAGGUUUCUUUGUAGUCAAAACCUUCUACCUGAGUAUGACCUUUUGCAACUAGCCUUGCUUUUAGUCUUUCAAUAUCACCAUUUGAUUUAUGUUUUACUUUGAAAACCCAUCUAGAGCCCACAAUCUUUCUGUCUUUUGGUUUGGCCACUAUUUCCCAUGUGUCAUUGAGCUCAAGGGCUGCUAGUUCAUCAUUCAUGGCUUUUACCCAUUCAGGACUUUGGCUAGCCUGUUUGAACGAGGUUGGCUCUGUGGUNNNNNNNNNNNNNNNNNNNNNNNNNNNNNNNNNNNNNNNNNNNNNNNNNNNNNNNNNNNNNNNNNNNNNNNNNNNNNNNNNNNNNNNNNNNNNNNNNNNNNNNNNNNNNNNNNNNNNNNNNNNNNNNNNNNNNNNNNNNNNNNNNNNNNNNNNNNNNNNNNNNNNUCUUGAGUUUAGUUGGGUGUUGGAAGUAGGAUCAACACUUAUCUUUUGUUCUUGUGUUGUUCCUGAUGUUUCAGGAUUCAAUGUUGUUUGAAUGUGAAUUUCAGAGUUUGGAUUUUUUGAAGUUGACUCUGAAGACUCAGAGUUUGAUUCUGUUGAGGUUAGGGUUUGUGAGUCAUUUUGGGGUAUUGAGUAUACCUCUGAGAGGUCAGAGUCAUUUAGAAGUGUAUCAUUCAGUUUCAUAGUUGUUGUAUUGCUCUUGGUUUCUCCUGAGUUGUUUUGAUUUAGUGGGAAUUCAUCCUCAUAAAAUGUAACAUCUCUGCUUACAGAGAUUUGUUGAUUAUCUAAUUCAUAGAUGAUAGAGCCUUUUUGAGUUGGAGAUUGACCUAAGUAUAUGCAUUUUUUGGCUCUAGGGGAGAACUUGUCUUCUCUUACAAGACAAGUUGCAUAGCAUAGGCAACCAAAGGUUCUAAGACCUUCAUAGUUUGGUUGCUUAGAAUGCAUGAGCUCAUAAGGGGAUUGGUUUUGUGUAACCUUAGAUGGUAGUAAAUUAAUGAUGUAGGUGGCUUGGAGGAUUGCAAAUCCCCAUAGCUCAAUUGGGAGAGAGCAUUGAAAUUUCAAUGCCCUUGCAACAUUUAAGAGAUGUUGGUGUUUUCUCUCUACCACACCAUUUUGUUGUGGUGUGUGGGGGCAGCUAGAGUAGUGGAUGAUUCCUUUUGUUUUUAGGAAGUCAUCCAUGGCUGAAGAAAAAAAUUCUCCACCAUUGUCAGUCCUAAUGGAUUUGACAGAAGUGUCAAAUUGAUUAUUAAUAAGAGUAUAUAAAUUUCUAAAAAUAUCAAAGCAUUCAGACUUCAUAGAUAUAAGAUAUGUCCAUGUGUACCUAGUAUAAUCAUCAACCACAGUUAAAAAAUAUCUCUUCCCAUGGAUUGUGGGAGUGUGAAAGUUCCCCCACACAUCCAUGUGAAGUAAAUCAAAUGCAUGCUUUGUUCUAGAUGCAUGUAGUGGAAAUGAUUUUCUAGGUUGUUUAGCAUAGUGACAAGUAUCACAGUGUUUAAAAGUAAAAGAAGAGUUUAAAAAAUUAAAAUUAAAAUUGUUCAAAAUGUGUUUAAGCCUGUCACUUGAAGUGUGACCAAGCCUAUUGUGCCAUGUGGAAGUUGUGGUGGCACCUGCAAAAAAUUUUUGAUGAUUGAUUGAUUGAUUGAUGUGUUGCAACAGAUAUAAUCCCUUCUCCAUCCUACUCUGACCAACUUCCUUCAUCUGAACCUUGUCAUAUAUAAAUGCACAUGAUUUAGAAAAUUGAACAGAGUAGGUAUCAUAUUGGGUUAACUUGCUAAUAGAUAGCAAGUUAACUUGAAAGGAUGGGUUGAAGUACACAUCCCUUAGUGUGAUGUUGGGUGAUACAGUGAUAUCACCCUUUAGGGAGACUGUUUGACCGUCCCCAUUUGGCAGUGUGAUCUUGAAGGGAUCACACUUGAUGAGUUUUUGAAAUAAGGACUCAUUUCCACUCAGGUGCUCAGAGGCACCUGAAUCAAUGAUCCAGUAGAUAUCAGAAUAUUUGUUAAAAAUGAAAUUUGCUUUACCUGAAUCCUUGUACUUUGGUAGAGGCUUCGGGUUGUAUUUCUCAGAGUAUAGUGGGAAGCCAUAAGGACCAAUGGGGUUUUCAGGGGAUUCAGCCUUCUCUUCAUCAAUUCUCCAUGGGGUCCAGGUUUGAUCAGAGUUCACACAAUUUGCAGAGCCCUGUGCUUUGUUAACCACAGAGGGUGUAGGAGUUGUGGGAUUGGCCCUAGUGUUUUUAGAAGGAUACCCAUGUUGAUUGAAACACUUUUCAUCACUGUGUCCAAAUACAGCACAGUGGAAGCAAUAAUAUCUCGUAUUGACUUGUUUCCCACUCUUGUAGUAUAUAGGUUCAGUAGGAGUGGGAGGCCUUUUCCUCUGAUUAGGGUUGGAUGAAGAAGGAGCAUCAGUGGGCUUGACUGUGGUCUGAAAGGGUGCUUUCCCUUUUGCAGAGUAGAAUGCUGAGCCUUGGUUGGGAUUAGAACUGCUGCUGGUCAGUUUUUGUUGUGCCUCUUCAUGUAUGACCAUAGAAAAAACUUUUCCAAAAUUUGGGAGUUUGUCCAUUGAGAGGAUGGUAGAUCUGAUUUGCCUGAAAUUAUCAUUCAGACCCAUUAAGAACUUCCUGAUCUUUAGCCUCUCCUCCCUUUCAUUCACUCUCCCAUUAACAUUACACGUGCAAGUGAUGCAGCUGCAUCUUGGAACCUCCCCAUAGGCAUCUACUUCCCUCCAUAAGGUUUUUAGCAUGGCACUGAAUUUAGAUACUGUAUUUGAACCUUGUUGGAGUAAGGCAAUGUCCUGUGUCAGUUGAAACAGAUGUGUCUCAUUAGAUUGUUUGAACUGAUCUCUGAGAUCAGCCCAAAUGAUUGCAGCAUCAUCUGUAUACAUGAUUUGGGAGGCUAUCUCCUGAGAGACAGAGCUCCAAAUCCACUGACGGAUUAUCCCAUGACAGGUAAUCCAGGCCUCGUGUUCCUCUUCCUCAUUUUGGGAUGGUUCCUUGAUGGAUCCAUUUACAAACCCCAACUUCCUCCUAGUUAUCAACAUGGUAGUCACCUCUCUGUUCCAUGGGUAAUAAUUUUGGCUUCCUUGUAGGAUGUUUAUAAUGGAAGGAGGGCCAUAGUCAGAGGGUUUGAAGUAAUACACAAAAGUAGGGUCAAAUAAGGGACCUCCCAGUGGCUUCUUUCUCAUAAUCUGAAUGGAUUGGGCAUCAUUAUCAGCCAUGAUAAGGACUCUGUAAUGUAGUUUAUGAUUAUGAAAUUGUAUUAGUAUAGCAUAAUUACAAAUCAAGUAAUGUGAAAAAACCAAAAAAUAUAUAUCACAGAUUUGAUCUGAUAUUAAAAUGUAUUGAUGUGUCUUUUGAAUUGACAAUCGGAUAAAUUUGAAGUAUCCAGAGUAGGAUAGUUUGACAAUGGUUUUCAGCCCAUCUUUGAUUGGUUUAGAUUGUAAGUAUAGCUUACUCAUAGUUGAAUAAUCAGUGUGCAGCGGAAGUAAUAUAAUAAAAACAUUCAUCCUAAGUAGCAUAUUAACAUUACUGAUGUGAUGUAAAUAUGACAUGCAAAUAACCUUCAAUGAUGAUGAAUAUAAAUAAGAUCUGAGAAUGGUAGUUAACAUGCAAAGUAGCCUAACCAACAACAUCCAUAGGUAUGAAGCACGCAGUCUGUUUAAUGUAAUGUGACCUGAGAAUGAUCUCAGAUCACAUCUAAUCACUAGUGCUAUCACUGAGGAGGCAUGUAGGUUAUCCUGAUGACAGGUUAGCAUACAUAUAGAUCUAGCAGAGCAUGCAAACAAAAAUCUCAGAGGAGCAAAAACUAUACAGCAUGAUGUGUGUAGACAAAUGAUACAUGAAAUGUUGAUGAAUGUAUCAAACAUAGCAAGAACCAGUACAUAGAACAUCAAGCAAAAACAUGCAAGAGGUGAUCUUAAGUCCUUAAGAGUAAACACACAACAUGGCAUUUUAGGAUCCGUAGUUAUAUCAAUUGAAACUAGACAUGGCAUAUAGAACAUCAUACAUGAACAUGCAAAGGGGUUUUUAUAUAUUUAGGGUUUUAGUUUUUUUUUUCUUUUUCGAAUAGUAAGUUCUUAGGUAUACCAGAUGUACAGCUUUCGUUUUGAAGAGAUGCGAGUAGAUCCUAACGGAGUCACCCCUUUUUCUUUUCUCUUUUGUGUCGCUGACCUUCUUUGCUCUUCACUGAUGACAGUGCAGUGUGGAUGUUUAGCAGCGCAGCACUCCGAGAGGCUCUGAUACCAUGUGAAAGUCGGAGAUCGAGUGAUCGGAGCGUGAGCCGGAGGAUCGCUUAGGGUUAGUUGGAAGGUCGCGACGGUAGGAGAGGAAGAACGUUGGGAAGAAACCCAAAGGGUUUUGGAAUAUAUUUGAAAAAGAUAAUAAAAAACUAUUACAAGUUAACUAUAUAUACCUUAAACCUAAUGGGCCAACAAACAGAUUGGGCCUUGUGACUAACUUAGUGUAGGGAUAAUAAUAAAUGUAUAAUAGAUUUAAACUAAUCAACUAAUCACUCUUAAUAGUUAUACAGAUUCGAGAUAAUUGCAGGAGUAGAGAGCUGGAGAUGAUGAAGACGAUGAACAGAUCGGAUGAAUGAUCUCCAGAUGAGCAGAUGAUUUGAGUAUAGCAGCACUGAUUACAAAUUCCUAAAGACAGAUUGAAGAAGAUCCCAGAAGACAGAUUAGAAUGGAGAUGGUGAUUUAGGACCAAUAACUUGAUUCCAAAAC
rnacentral:lncRNA from 1 species